rnacentral:rRNA from 1 species
AUAUCAAUAAGCGGAGGAAAAGAAACCAACAGGGAUUGCCUCAGUAACGGCGAGUGAAGCGGCAACAGCUCAAAUUUGAAAUCUGGCCUCUGGCCCGAGUUGUAAUUUGCAGAGGAUGCUUCGGGCGCGGUGCCUUCCAAGUCCCCUGGAACGGGGCGCCGGAGAGGGUGAGAGCCCCGUACGGUUGGCGGCCAAGCCUGUGUGAAGCUCCUUCGACGAGUCGAGUAGUUUGGGAAUGCUGCUCUAAGCGGGAGGUAGACCCCUUCUAAAGCUAAAUACCGGCCAGAGACCGAUAGCGCACAAGUA